GACGAACGCUGGCGGCGUGCCUAAUACAUGCAAGUAGGACGCAGUUGCGAACGGGUGAGUAACGCGUAGGUAACUACCUAUUAGAGGGGGAUAACUAUUGGAAACGAUAGCUAAUACCGCAUACUAGUAGAUGGACCUGCGUUGUAUUAGCUAGUAGGUAGGGUAAUGGCCUACCUAGGCAACGAUACAUAGCCGAGCUGGGAGGGUGAUCGGCCACACUUGGACUGGGACACGGGCCAGACUCCUACGGGAGGCAGCAGGAGGGAAACUUCGGAAAUGGGGGGAACGCUGACCGAGCAAAGCCGCGGGAGUGAAGAAGGGUUUCGGAUCGUAAAGCUCUGUUGUUAAGGAAGCGGUACUUAAACAGAAAGGAACGGCUAACUACGUGCCAGCAGCCGCGGUAAUAC
rnacentral:rRNA from 1 species